rnacentral:rRNA from 1 species
UACAGAGGGUGCAAGCGUUAAUCGGAAUUACUGGGCGUAAAGCGUGCGUAGACGGUCAUGUAAGUCGGGUGUGAAAGCCCCGGGCUCAACCUGGGAAUUGCAUUCGAGACUGCAUGGCUAGGGUGCGGAAGAGGGAAGCGGAAUUUCCGGUGUAGCGGUGAAAUGCGUAGAUAUCGGAAGGAACAUCAGUGGCGAAAGCGGCUUCCUGAUCCAGCACCGACGUUCAGGCACGAAAGCGUGGGGAGCAAACAGG